UGGCAAUUGGAUAGGAAUUUAGGAUUGAUUCAAUAUUAUAGAAUGAAGUAACACAGUUAUAACAGUAACUUCUUUACCUGAACUCCUAAGUGGCAAAUGUCAUAAUAUGGUUCCUCCGAUGUUUUUUCCUCUUUGAAAAAUAUAACAGUCCCUUCUUUGUAUAAUUACUUCUCUAGUAGAUAAAAUAUAUAGGUACUUGGAGUGUUCUUGUAUAUUUUGAUCUGUAUAUGAACUUUAGGUCUUGUCUCUUCUCCCUUGCCUUUCUUUGUGAAAAGAAAGGUUCUGCUUUACCUGAUCUCAUGUGAUUUCUGUACCCUGCCUUUCGCAUAGGGCAAGCAGAACGGCUCUGAUGAGUCAACAAACGGUAAGCUCAAUAAUAGCACCGAUCAAGGGGUUGAAACACCCAAAAAGGACGACGAAAAGAAGGCCGACUCGCCAAAAGAGAGUGAACAGAUUGUCCGAACACCGGAAAGAGACAAUGAACUGAGACUAGGGACACCCAAGAUGGAUAGUGAGGUACCAAGUGUGGAAAUGGCGGCAAACAGUACGAAUGGGCUGG
rnacentral:lncRNA from 1 species